CGAAAGAUUUAUCGGCUUAAGAUGAGCCCGCGUUGGAUUAGCUAGUUGGUGGGGUAAAGGCCUACCAAGGCGACGAUCCAUAGCUGGUCUGAGAGGAUGAUCAGCCACACUGGGACUGAGACACGGCCCAGACUCCUACGGGAGGCAGCAGUGGGGAAUAUUGGACAAUGGGCGGAAGCCUGAUCCAGCCAUGCCGCGUGAGUGAAGAAGGCCUUAGGGUUGUAAAGCUCUUUCACCGGUGAAGAUAAUGACGGUAACCGGAGAAGAAGCCCCGGCUAACUUCGUGCCAGCAGCCGCGGUAAUACGAAGGGGGCUAGCGUUGUUCGGAUUUACUGGGCGUAAAGCGCGCGUAGGCGGAUAGAUAAGUNAGAGGUGAAAU
rnacentral:rRNA from 2 species